CCUACGGGAGGCAGCAGUAGGGAAUAUUGCUCAAUGGGGGAAACCCUGAAGCAGCAACGCCGCGUGGAGGAUGAAGGUUUUCGGAUUUUAAACUCCUUUUGUUAGAGAAGAUAAUGACGGUAUCUAACGAAUAAGCACCGGCUAACUCCGUGCCAGCAGCCGCGGUAAUACGGAGGGUGCAAGCGUUACUCGGAAUCACUGGGCGUAAAGAGCGCGUAGGCGGGAUAGCAAGUCAGAUGUGAAAUCCUAUGGCUUAACCAUAGAACUGCAUUUGAAACUGUUAUUCUAGAGUAUGGGAGAGGUAGGUGGAAUUCUUGGUGUAGGGGUAAAAUCCGUAGAGAUCAAGCGGAAUACUCAUUGCGAAGGCGACCUGCUAGAACAUAACUGACGCUGAUGCGCGAAAGCGUGGGGAGCAAACAGGAUUAGAUACCCCUGUAGUC
rnacentral:rRNA from 1 species